GCACUUCUGAGGAGUCCCAAAACAAGACGAAAUGGCCAUCCAGUGC
rnacentral:hammerhead_ribozyme from 1 species